rnacentral:rRNA from 1 species
AUACGUACUGCGCAAACGUUAUUCGGAAUCACUGGGCUUACAGGGUGCGUAGGCGGUUCGCCAGGUCAGAUGUGAAAUCCCACAGCUCAACUGUGGAACUGCAUUUGAAACCUGCGAACUUGAGUGAACUAGAGGCAUACGGAACUUCAGGUGGAGCGGUGAAAUGUGUUGAGAUCUGAAGGAACACCAGAGGCGAAGGCGGUAUGCUGGAGUUUGUCUGACGCUGAGGCACGAAAGCCAGGGGAGCGCACGGGAUUAGAUACCCUAGUAGUCC